rnacentral:rRNA from 1 species
UACGGAGGGUGCAAGCGUUGUCCGGAUUUAUUGGGUUUAAAGGGUGCGUAGGCGGUUCUUUAAGUCUGGGGUGAAAGCCCGUUGCUCAACAACGGAACUGCCCUGGAAACUGGAGGACUUGAGUACAGACGAGGGUGGCGGAAUGGAUGCUGUAGCGGUGAAAUGCAUAGAUAGCAUCCAGAACCCCGAUUGCGAAGCAGCUGCCUAGACUGUAACUGACGCUGAGGCACGAAAGCGUGGGGAGCGAACAGGA